GGGAGUACGGCCGCAAGGUUAAAACUCAAAGGAAUUGACGGGGACCCGCACAAGCGGUGGAUUAUGUGGAUUAAUUCGAUGCAACGCGAAAAACCUUACCUACCCUUGACAUGUCCAGAAGCCUGAAGAGAUUUGGGUGUGCCCGAAAGGGAACUGGAACACAGGUGCUGCAUGGCUGUCGUCAGCUCGUGUCGUGAGAUGUUGGGUUAAGUCCCGCAACGAGCGCAACCCUUGUCGUUAAUUGCCAUCAUUUAGUUGGGCACUUUAACGAGACUGCCGGUGACAAACCGGAGGAAGGUGGGGAUGACGUCAAGUCCUCAUGGCCCUUAUGGGUAGGGCUUCACACGUCAUACAAUGGUCGGUACAGGGGGUCGCUAACCCGCGAGGGGGUGCCAAUCUCACAAAACCGAUCGUAGUCCGGAUUGCACUCUGCAACUCGAGUGCAUGAAGUCGGAAUCGCUAGUAAUCGCGGAUCAGCAUGUCGCGGUGAAUACGUUCCCGGGCCUUGUACACACCGCCCGUCACACCAUGGGAGUGGGUUUCACCAGAAGUAGGUAGGCUAACCGCAAGGAGGCCGCUUACCACGGUGGGAUUCAUGACUGGGGUG
rnacentral:rRNA from 1 species